GGUAUUGUAACAUAUGUUGUAAUAUUGUUAGUAUUUUUAGGGUUAGAUUUUGAAAUCUCAUCUUAUCUUUUUUCUAAAAAAAUUUGACCUAUAUGUGAUUAGUGAUUGUCUAAUAACUUGAUUUAAACACUUUCUAAAUAUCUUAAAAGUUUAAGAAUGUGUUUUUUUGAUUAGUUAUUUGAUUAUAGGGUCUGGAAGACUCACAGAAGACUUCCCAAGAAGUCUUAUGACAUGUCCCGCCUACAUUUUAGUAGAAUUUAGGGUUUCUGCCUAAA
rnacentral:lncRNA from 1 species